rnacentral:lncRNA from 1 species
UGCAUUCGAGACCAUUCGAUGAUUCCAUUCAAUUCAUUUGAUGACGAUUCCAUUCAAUUCUGUUCAAUGAUUCCAUUAGAUUCCAUUUGAUGAUGAUUCCAUUCGAUUCCAUUUGAUCAUAAUUCCAUUCGAUUCCACUCGAUGAUUCCAUUCGAUUCCAUUCAAUGAUGAUUCCAUUCGAGUUCAUUGACUGUUCCAUUCCAUUCCAUUCGAUGAUUCCAUUCGAGUCCAUUCGAUGAUUCUAUUCGAUUGCAUUCGAUAAUUCCAUUCGAUUGCAUUCGAUAAUUCCAUUCGAUUCCAUUGGAGGAUAAUUCCAUUAGAGUCCAUUCGAUGAUUGUUCCAUUCGAUUCUAUUCGGUGAUUCCAUUCGAUUCCAUUUGAUAAUAAUUCCAAUCGAGACCAUUCGAUGAUUCCAUUCAAUUCCAUUCAAUAAUGAUCCCUUUCGAGUCCAUUCAAUGAUUCCAUUCCAGUCCAUUCUAUGAUUCCAUCUGAUUCCAUUCAAUGAAUCCAUUCGAUUCCAUUCUAUGACGAUUCCAUUCAUUUCCAUCUGAUGAUGAUUCCUUUCGAUUCCAUUUUAUGAUGAUUCCAUGCAAUUCCAUUAGAUGAUGAUUCCUUUCAUUUCCAUUCGAUGAUGAUUCCAUUCGUUUCCAUCCGAAGAUGAUUCCAUUCGAUUCCGUUCAAUGAUUAUUCCAUUCGAGUCCAUUCGAUGAUUCCAUUCGAUUCCAUUCGAUGAUGAUUGCAUUCGAGUCCAUGGAUUAUUCCAUUCCAUUCCAUUGGAGGAUAAUUCCAUUUGAGUCCAUUCGAUGAUAGUUCCAUUCGAUUCUAUUCGGUGAUUCCAUUCGAUUCCAUUUGAUAAUGAUUCCAAUCGAGACCAUUCGAUGAUUCCAUUCAAUUCCAUUCAAUCAUGAUCCCUUUCGAGUCCAUUCAAUGAUUCCAUUCCAGUCCAUUCGAUGAUUCCAUCUGAUUCCAUUCAAUGAAUCCAUUCGAUUCCAUUCUAUGACGAUUCCAUUCAUUUCCAUCUGAUGAUGAUUCCAUUCGAUUCCAUUCAAUGAUACCAUUCGAUUCCAUUUGAUGAUGAUUUCAAUCAAUUUUAUUCGAUGAUUCCAUUCGAAUCCAUUCGAAGAUGAGUCCAUCCAUUUCAAUUUCAUGAUAAUUCCAUUCGUUUCAAUUCGAUGGUGUUUCCAUUCGAUUCAUUCGAUGUUGAUUCCAUUAGCUUCCGUUGGAUGAUGAUUCCAUUCGGGUCCAUUCGAUGAUGAUCACACUGGAUUUCAUUCCAUAAUUCUAUUCGAUUCCAUUCGAUGAUGAUUCCAUUCAUUUCCAUCCGAUGAUGAUUCCAUUCGAUUCCGUUCAAUGAUUAUUCCAUUCGAGUCCAUUCGAUGAUUCCACUCGAUUCCAUUCGAUGAUGAUUGCAUUCGAGUCCAUGGAUUAUUCCAUUCCAUUCCAUUAGAUGAUUCCAUUCGGGUCCAUUCGAUGAUUCUCUUCGAUUCCAUACGAUAAUUCCGUUUUUUUUCCGUUUGAUGUUGAUUCCAUUCGAUUCCAUUCGAUGAUAAUUCCAUUCGAUUCUAU